UACGAAGGGGGCUAGCGUUGCUCGGAAUCACUGGGCGUAAAGGGUGCGUAGGCGGGGCUUUAAGGCAGGGGUGAAAUCCUGGAGCUCAACUCCAGAACUGCCUUUGAUACUGAAGAUCUUGAGUGCGGGAGAGGUGAGUGGAACUGCGAGUGUAGAGGUGAAAUUCGUAGAUAUUCGCAAGAACACCAGUGGCGAAGGCGGCUCACUGGCCCGAUACUGACGCUGAGGCACGAAAGCGUGGGGAGCAAACAGG
rnacentral:rRNA from 1 species